AUGAAAUCAUGUUUUUGUCGUCAUCACUACCGCCAUUUCGUGAUUCAUGUUUCCCUUUUAAAGGCUCUGAUUUCGUUAUCAGGUGACUCAACACAGGUCUGGUGUUGCCUAAGCGCCUUCAAUUGACUUGCUGCCACUCAGGUGUUUACUAUGCAACCAACAGCCUGUCCUGGGUCGUCCCCAGGGCCUCCCGCCGGUGGGACAUGCCCGGAACACCUCUCCGGAGAGGCGUCCAGCAGGCAUCUGAACCAGCACCUCAGCUGGCUCCUCUCAACGCGGAGGAGUUGCGGCUCAACGCCGAGUCCCUCCCGGAUGACCAAGCUUCUCACCCUCUCUAAGGGAGAGCACCCUUUAGGAACUCCGGGCGGAUCUCAUCUACCCCCGGGGCCUUGCCACCGAUGAGCUUUCCAACCGCCUCAGUGACUUCAACCCGAGAGAUCGAAGAGCCCACCUCGGAGUCCCCAGACUCCGCUUCCUCAAAGGAAGGCGUGUCGGUGGAAUUGAGGAGGGCUUCGAAGUAUUCUCCCCACCGACUCACGACGUCCCGAGUCGAGGUCAGCAGUACACUAUCUUCACUAUACACAGUGUUAAUGGUGCACUGCUUUCCUCUCCUCAGAAGCCGGAUGGUGGACCAGAAUUUCCUCGAAGCCGUCUGGAAGUCGUUUUCCAUGGCCUCGCCGAAUUCCUCCCAUGUCCGAGUUUUUGCCUCAGUUAAUACAGUACAACAUUUUCUCUGGCUGGUUUGUCUCAUUUAAAAUUCAAUUUACUAUAGGUAAACUCAACUGCUUGCAAUGUUUUGAGUGAUGCAGAGAGACUACUGGCUUUUUUAAUGUUAAUUUGGAUGCCAUUUACGUCAACAGUCGAAUGAAUUGGCGCUCUAUCACCCCCAGUGGAUUUUUUUUUUUUUAGCUAUGUUGUCUAAGCUCCAUAUACCAUAACUGAGAAAAACACUGGGGAACACAUAUCUCUCUAGAAUACAGGUUGAUCAAAAAAUGUGCCAAAAUCAUUAGUAUGAAAAACAUUUCAAAAACUGGCUUGUACACUUGUACAGGUUUUAUUUUGUACAGGUUUUAUUUUGUUUUACAAGUGCGUACAGGUAAAAUUAAGCCGAUAAGAGGACCCCCUUCCCCCU